GCCGCUGGGCCGUCGGCGCCCGCGGAGGGAAGCCGGGAGGGAAGCUGGCGGCGCGCAGAGCGGCCGCCCGCGUAGGGGGCCGUGUGCUCCCCACUCACCCCCUCGCUCAGCCCUCACCACAGCCCUGGGUGCUGGGGACGGUGACAGACCCCCGUCACAGAGGACCCAAGUCUAGUGGAAACCAGCUGCCAUGUCAUGAGGACACCUAGGCAGCCUGUAGGGAGGUCUUGGUGUCUAGGAACUGAGGCCUCCUACCAGCAGAUAUGUGUGUUAGUCAUCUUGGAAGCCAGUCCUCCAGUCCUGGUCAAGGCUUUGGCUGACAGCAACCUGUGCCAGCAUCCCGACUGCAACUUCAGGAGACCCUGAGCAGUGCUUACCCAGCUUGGCCACUCUCAGAAACUGGGUCCUGGAACCAAGAUACCAAGGGAUGACUGCACUCCUAGCAACCUCAGCAGCAAGAAAGAAGAGGAGGAAACAGUGGCCUAGCAAGCAUCUUUUUCCCUCUCACUGACAAGGACUGUGUGUUGCAUAACUACCCCCUGCUGCAAGGGAGCUGGAAAAUCUAUUCUGUUCUUUUAUAUUCUCUACAUUAGAGAUAAGAAAGGGAGAAAGGAGUGAAAAAUGGACUCUGAACUAGCCAACCCACAGUAUCAGUCACACACAAAAAAAUGUCCAAAGAACUUUAAGAGAUACACAAAUCCCCGAAGAAAGGAGAAAUUCUGAGGAACCCUAUGUUAUAGAUGAUUUUCUCUCUCAAUAUAAAACUUGAAAACUUUGAUUAUGAAAACUUUUAAAAUGAAAAUAACUUUUUUAAAAUUAAGUUUUAGUGGAGCAUAGUUGAUGUACAAUGUUGUUAGUUUCCAAAAUGAAAAUAACUUUAAAGAAUAAUACUUGAUAUUCAUCCUUUUCUGAUCCUAAGAUAAUAGUAAAAAAAUUAAGUAAAAUAAAAAUUACAAAAAAGAUUUUUUCUUAGUUUUAGCAGAAAAAAUCUAAAAUAUUAGCUCAUUUUUUAAAUUAAACUUUUAAAUAAUUAAUGCUAUCACAUAUUUUUCUCAUUAGCAGUAUGAGAGUAGUGAAACUGAGUCUUGUGGCUUUAAUUUGAUUUCUCUGAUUGCUAGAGGUUAAGCAUCUUUUUAUACAUUUAUUGGCCACUCAGGUUUUCUCUUCCGUGAGUUUCCUAUUUACAUCUCUUGUCCCCGUUUUUGGUUGAGUUGCUUGUCUUUUUCUUACUGAGUUGUGGGAGUUCUUCGUACAUUCUAGAUAUUAAUUAUUAGUGAUUACAUGUGAUGUAAAUAACUACUCUCAAUCUGUUGCUUGUCUUCUCAUUUGGUUUGAUAUACAAAAAAAUGAGAAAAGUCUGUUUUCAUUUUAAUGUACCCCCAAAUAAUCUAACCACGCAGAGCCCUAACCACUGGACUGCCAGGGAAUUCCCUCAACAUAGAUUAAAAAAAAAAAAAAACUGUAUCAAAUUAGUCACUGCUUGACUAAUCAUGCAGCAAAUAAAAUAAAAAAGCCUUGACUUUAGUAAAAAAUUAUGACUCCUCUAAAUUACUCUUAUCCUCAAAUUAUUAUAAAUGCAAGAAACUGUUUCAUAUUUAUAGCAUUAACCAGAGGACACGAAUCAUGAUAGAGAUUAGAAUAAAAUACCUUAUUACUAGACUAAAACCAUCUUAAUAAAAUGAAAAUUGAAAUGUUCUUAAAUAAUGCAACAGUGUUCAAAUGUGUAGUUACCUAUAUACAUAUCAUAUAUACAGGUACAUAUAUAUAUAUCUCAUAUGUGAAUAACUCCAAAACAAUUAAAUAAAUUGCAAUGAUUUAAAAACAAACAAACAAAUAAAACCUAGAUACCUACUGCUCUCUUUGUAGACUAAU